CACAUGAAUCAUGUCUUCCACGUGCUCCCAUAGUUUUAAACAUCAUAUUCUCCAUCCUUCUCCCUCCACCGCGUCGGAGCUCACCACCGGCGGAGGUGGAGCAGCAUACCACAAAAUCUUACACACCGAAACACUUCAAUUUUCAUGCUCAAACAGAAUCCACAAACAAAAUCCUCUGAAAACUCCAUAAAUCUCCAAAUUGAAGGAAAUUGAUCAAGAACCUAGAGGUUAGGGAUUUGAUUCAUCUUAAGAAGCUCUAAAUUAAGGUAACUUUUUUGAAUCAAAAUGAUGAAGGUUAGAGGAUGCACUCACCAAAGCAGGCGCCGGAAAUUCAGGUUGCUAGGAAUUGUUCAUGGUCAAGGUUUGUGAGCUACUGCAGGAUGUUGCCAUGGUUGGUUUGCUCAUACAAUGGGUUGUUUGUGGUAUAAUGGAAAAGCUUGUAAGGCACAGUUUUAGGCAAAUCAAGGCAAAGUGACCAAGUUUCAAGGCAAAGUGACCAAGGCAAACUAAAAAAUAUGGUUUCUUUCUUAUGAAGGAAAAUGUGACAAUGGACACUCAUGAAUUCAAUGCAAGGAUGAAAAUAUGACUAGUUUUAGGUUUAGGGAUGAAAAUGAAAUUUUUGAUAUUUUCUUUUGUAAUGAACAUUGUGUAUUCUAAUGAAUGAAUGACCAUUUAUUUGAAUGAAAUGAA